rnacentral:rRNA from 1 species
UGGGGGAUUUUGCACAAUGGGCGCAAGCCUGAUGCAGCGACGCCGCGUGAGGGAUGAAGGCCUUCGGGUUGUAAACCUCUUUCGCUGGGUUGAAAGGCCAUGCUUUGGGUGUGGGUGUUUUGAACUGGUAAAGAAGUACCGGCUAACUACGUGCCAGCAGCCGCGGUAAUACGUAGGGUACUAGCGUUGUCCGGAUUUAUUGGGCGUAAAGGGCUUGUAGGUGGUUUGUCGCGUCUGUCGUGAAAUCCUGUGGCUUAACCAUGGGCGUGCGGUGGGAACGGGCAGGCUUGAGUGCGGUAGGGGAGACUGGAAUUCCUGGUGUAGCGGUGGAAUGCGCAGAUAUCAGGAGGAACACCGGUGGCGAAGGCGGGUCUCUGGGCCGUUACUGACACUGAGGAGCGAAAGCGUGGGGAGCGAACAGG